CAACCAUCAAGCCCCCGGGCUUGCGUUGGGGCCCUGCGGCUGCCGCAGACCCCUAAAACCAGUGGCGGGCUCGCUGUCACACCGAGCGCAGUAGCAAUAUCUCGCUCUGGGCGCGGCGGCGGGCGCUUGCCGUAAAACACCCCACAUAUCAA
rnacentral:misc_RNA from 1 species